AUGCAGAUUUGUAAAAGACAUUGGCAACUGGUUUGUUGCAUUUGUUUGUGGCAACUAAUAUGUGCAGGGCAUUUUUUGGAUGAAUUGGUUUUGGAGUUUUAUAAAUCUGGUUCAGGUUGUAUAACACAUGGAAAGCUUGGAGAAAUACUUGGGAUGGGAAGAAAGGUCAACUCAAAUCAGAGUCAUGGAGAUUAUUUGAAUCAAAGAUAA